GUCUAUGGCCAUACCACCCUGAAUGUGCCCGAUCUUGUCUGAUUUCAGAAGUGAAGCAGGGUCAACCCUGCUUAGUACCUGGAUAGGAGAAUAUGCUUCCACAAUCC
rnacentral:rRNA from 1 species